rnacentral:rRNA from 1 species
ACGGGAGGCAGCAGUGGGGAAUAUUGCACAAUGGGCGCAAGCCUGAUGCAGCGAUGCCGCGUGAGGGAAGAAGUAUUUCGGUAUGUAAAGCUCUAUCAGCAGGGAAGAAAAAAUCAAAAUUGACAGUACCUGACUAAGAAGCCCCGGCUAACUACGUGCCAGCAGCCGCGGUAAUACGUAGGGGGCAAGCGUUAUCCGGAAUUACUGGGUGUAAAGGGAGUGUAGGCGGGACUGUAAGUCAGAUGUGAAAUAUGCCGGCUCAACUGGCAGACUGCAUUUGAAACUGCGGUUCUUGAGUGAAGUAGAGGUAAGCGGAAUUCCUAGUGUAGCGGUGAAAUGCGUAGAUAUUAGGAGGAACAUCAGUGGCGAAGGCGGCUUACUGGGCCUUAACUGACGCUGAGGCUCGAAAGCGUGGGGAGCAAACAGGAUUAGAUACCCUGGUA